rfam:Macleaya cordata isolate BLH2017 scaffold8433, whole genome shotgun sequence.
UAAAGAAUAACAGUGCAGUCCUCCUUUGGCAGAAAAACCGGGCAGUUGCUGGUUGUUCUUACUUUCUGCCAAAGGAGAAUUGCCCUGCCAUUCACCC